rnacentral:rRNA from 1 species
GACGAACGCUGGCGGCGUGCUUAACACAUGCAAGUCGAACGGUAAGGCCCCUUUCGGGGUACUCCAGUAGCGAACGGGUACGUAACACGUAAGUAACCUUCCCUUGACUUCUGGCUAACUUCAGGUAAUUGGAGCUAAUACCAAAUCGGCAUCCUUGCUGCUUUUUGGGGGUUUGAAAUCUUGGGCUGUUUUUGAUGGACUCGCGGGUUAUCCUCGUGUUUGUGGGGUAGUGGCUUACCAAGGGUUUGACGGGUAGCCGGCAUCAGAGGGGGACCGGGCACAAUGGGACUGAGAGAGGGCGCAGAAUGGUACGGGAGGCAGCAGUGGGGAAUAUUGCACAAUGGGGGGAAGUAUGAGGAAGCAACGCCGGGAGCGGGAUGACGUGUUGCGGGUGGUAAACCGGUGUGAGCAGGGGAGAAGCUUGUGGUGACGGUACCUGAAGAAGAAGCAACGGCUAACUACGUG